AUUGAACGCUGGCGGCAGGCCUAACACAUGCAAGUCGAACGAGUGGCGGACGGGUGAGUAAUGUCUGGGAAACUGCCUGAUGGCGGGGGAUAACUACUGGAAACGGUAGCUAAUACCGCAUACCAUCAGAGCUGCCCAGAUGGGAUUAGCUAGUUGGUGGGGUAAUGGCUCACCUAGGCGACGAUCCCUAGCUGGUCUGAGAGGACGACCAGCCAAACUGGAACUGAGACACGGUCCAGACUCCUACGGGAGGCAGCAGUGGGGAAUAUUGGACAAUGGGGGAAAGCCUGAUGCAGCCAUGCCGCGUGUAUGAUGAAGGCCUUCGGGUUGUAAAGUACUUUCAGCAGGGAGGCGUUACUCGCAGAAGAAGCACCGGCUAACUACGUGCCAGCAGCCGCGGUAAUAC
rnacentral:rRNA from 1 species